rnacentral:rRNA from 1 species
UACGUAGGGGGCAAGCGUUGUCCGGAUUUAUUGGGCGUAAAGAGCGUGUAGGCGGUUUGGUAGGUCCGCUGUGAAAACUCGAGGCUCAACCUCGAGACGCCGGUGGAAACCAUCAGGCUAGAGUCCGGAAGAGGAGAGUGGAAUUCCCUGGUGUAGCGGUGAGAUGCGCAGAUAUCAGGAAGAACACCCGUGGCUAAGGCGGCUCUCUAGUACGGUACUGACGCUGAGACGCGAAAGCGUGGGGAGCGAACAGG